UACAGAGGAUGCAAGCGUUAUCCGGAAUCAUUGGGCGUAAAGCGUGUGUAGGUGGCUUUUUAAGUCCGCCGUCAAAUCCCAGGGCUCAACUCUGGACAGGCGGUGGAAACUACCAAGCUGGAGUACGGUAGGGGCAGAGGGAAUUUCCGGUGGAGCGGUGAAAUGCGUAGAGAUCGGGAAGAACACCAGCGGCGAAAGCGCUCUGCUGGGCCGGCACUGACACUGAGAGACGAAAGCUAGGGGAGCGAAUGGG
rnacentral:rRNA from 1 species